ACAAUACAUCCUAUGCUGAUAUAAACACUUUUCUUUUAAGGUGGUGAUAUGUCUAAGAAUGUGAGUCAAUCACAGAUGGCAAAAUUGAAUCAACAAAUGGCCAAAAUGAUGGAUCCUAGAGUUCUUCAUCACAUGGGUGGUAUGGCAGGACUACAGUCAAUGAUGAGGCAGUUUCAACAGGGUGCUGCUGGCAAUAUGAAAGGCAUGAUGGGAUUCAAUAAUAUGUAAAGAAGAUGCCUUAAUAUAAACUGACUUGGUUGAUUACAUUAUUUGCUGAGACCUCAGAGUUUCCCUCCUUUUUGAAAAUGGGGGGAAAAAGUAUUUUUCUUGCCUGCCUUGCCCUCUUUCUUUUCAUCAUUUUUUCCUCAGCUUUUCUUUUUCCUUUCUUCCUUCUUCCUUCCUUUUUGAUAUAAGGAAGGAAUAUAUGAUUUUUGUGGAAAUCCUUACAUUUCUGCUCUAAGUUCUCUUUAGUUUUCACCAUCAUAACACUUUUGAGUUAAACAAAUCAUGAUGUAAAAUUUUAGUACUUAAAGGUUUUUAAUUGUCACAAAGGCCAAGCAUUACAUUUGUAAACAGUCCUGGUCAGUAAAUCACAUUAUAAUGUCUCAAUAAAAGUGCUGUAAAAUAAACUUCAAACUGGUUAUAAGUUAAGGAGAUGUUAACUUUCUUAAUGGCUUAAAAUGAUCAAUGUAUCACACACAAAAAAGAAAAAGCCAAUAAAUAUGUUUUAUAAAACCUUGC